CCUUUUUUACUGGUUGUCUUAAGCAGGUUAUCUAGAGGUUUUGCAUUUGUUAAGUUCACAAGCAAGCAAGAUGCAGAAAAUGUGCGGUUUGUAAUCUACUCAUUAUGUUAAAAGUAAGUGAAGUUUUCGGGUUUUGUGGGGUCACUUACUUUUUCAUUUUCUUUUCUUGUUUAUUUUUUUUCCUUUCCAGGCAAUCCAGAAGUUCAAUGGGGAAAAAAUUGGUAAAAGACCCAUAGCUGUUGACUGGGCUGUUCCAAAGAAAAUUUAUAUCACUGGUGCUAAUCCUGUUGUUGCAUCAGAAGAUGGUAAUUGUGACCCUUUACUGUAUUCUAAUUCUAUUCUCUUCUAAGGACACAUAAUGUAUUUUUGUUACCUUUUCUUCCUUGUCUGUAUUGUUUGAUGCAAUUGUGUGCUAUUUACUUCUCAAGAAAGGAAGAAGAUAAGGAUAUUCUUCUUGUUUAGGAUUCUCCAUGUUUCCGUCUCUUGUAUUGGUUAAUGCCAUUGUUCUUUACUUAUUGGGCAAACAUUUGAUAAUCAGAUUGAAUUUUUUCCAUGUUUUAACUGGAUGAAGAAAGGACGAAGGUGAGGAUAUUGGGGUUCAAUUUUAUGUAACCUGUUGUUUGGAGAGUGGCCUCUCACUGAUGAGCUCUUUCUUUUACUUUAUGACUUUUGUUUUGGGUAAGAUUCAAAUAUGGCUUAAAGGAUGUUCUUAAAGAUGUAGAAACUUUUCAAAUGUUACGAUGAUGCUUACAAGGACAUAGCUGCUAGAUUAACUAUUUUUCUAUCAUGUUGGGACAUUUGCUUCCUUUACCUUUUAGGCUUUUCUUUUCUCAUCCUUUUAGACUGAGUUUUUAGUUACUGCUUCUCUCAUUGUUAUCCUUGAAAGACAAAAUGUUGGGGGUGAUACAGAGCGAUCUGAUUGAUCUGUGAGGCUACAGUUGGGUAAAUAGGGGUGGGAGGAGGGGAGGGGAGGUAGAGCAUAGAAUUGUAUGGGCUAAAAUUGGAGAAGGGACGUUCUUGGUCAAGCUCAUGUUCAAGGUUUUGAGGGAGUCAAAGAAGGGUUUUUUCCUUGGAGAGAAGUUUGGUGCAAAGGUUUCUCUUCAUAGGUAUCCUUCUUCGAAUCAUCUGUCACAGUAGAUAGCAUUCUUAUAAAUAAGGAAAAGUUUUUCUUAACUGGUGUUCUGUUUGUGAGAAUGGCAAGAAACACUGAAGUUUUGCUCUUUCAUUACUUGGUUGCUUCUGAUUUGUGGUCACUUCCCAUGACAGUUGAAGGACUAUUAGAUGGUUGGCAUAGGGAAGUUUUUGGGCACACAGGAGACAUGCAUAGCUCCACAUCAUGCUUAUUGUGGACACUUGGAAGGAAAGGAGUAGAAAAACUAUUGAGGGGGUAGAGAUCUCUAUUCAUAAUCUUGAAUAUCAGAUUUUUAUUAGUUUGAGAGUUGCAGUCCAGUUUGGUUAUGUGCAAACCAACACCUCUAAACCCCUCUCCCUAUUUGUUGUUGUUUCCUGGGCUGAAAUUUAGAUAGUUUUUUUUUUAAAAAAAGGUCAAUCUGAUUUAUAAGUGCUUUUGGUGGUUUUCUAGUUACCUCUACUAAACAUGAACAUGUGCUGAUUCACAAUGAGAUUUGAAGAUUGUAUUGGUGGAUUGUACUUCUUUUCUUCAGGCUGCAGUUUGCUUUCAUUUGCAUUGUUAAAUGGCUUGAUGGAAAAUAAAGGCUAGUGGUUUAUCCAUGAUAUUUAUCUUUUUGUCUAUAUCCUUAUCUGAUAGACACCUGUUUUCUGGUUUCAACAAAAUUUCUAAAUAAAUAAUUUCCAAAAUAUGCAAUAACAUCUAGAAACUGUGAACUGUGACAUACGGUUCACAUGACUGUUUUUCUAUGAUUGCUUUUGUUUCUGCACUUUGUAUUGAAAUCCUUUGUUUUUGUUGAGUCAUUUCUUCAUGUAGGCUUAGGUUUGUUAAUUUUACAGGACAACUGAAUGGGAGAGAUGGGGAAGGUGAUACUGAUAGUGAUGAUUUGGAGGAUGACACUACAGAUAUUGAUAAUAAAGUACCACACCCUCAAGGGGUUGGUAGUGCUCCAGAUGACUCCAAUACAACAGAGAAAGAAGUAAUGCCUACUGAAUUUGAUUUUAAUGAAGAAGCAGACAUUGCAAGGAAGGUUUUAAAGAACUUGAUCACAUCCUCUGCUAAAGGAACACUUCCUUCUUCCAGUGGUGGACCCACGGACCUAAAUUUUGAUGAAACCAUUGACGUACUGAAAAAAACAUCCAAUGAAUCUGAAAAAGCAUCAGAUGUAACUGAACCUGAAAACUCUAGCAAAAGCAAAUUAUUAAAUCUUAGACCAAUAGAGUCAGAAGAUGAUUUGCAGAGAACAAUUUUCAUAAGCAACCUGCCUUUUGAUAUUGACAAGGAAGAAGUUAAGCAACAAUUUUCCAAAUUUGGUGAAGUGCAAUCCUUUGUCCCUGUUCUCCAUCAAGUAACCAAGUAUGAGUGUAUUUAAUUUGAUGUCCUUCUAUACUUCUUGUCCUUUGUUGUAAUUCCAUGUGAUUUUAUUGUGCUCGUUGGCAGGCGACCAAAAGGAACAGGGUUUCUUAAGUUCAAUACAGUAGCUGCAGCUGAUGCUGCAGUAUCAGCAGCAAACCCCACAUCUUCUUUGGGGAUUUUCCUGAAGGGCAGGCAAUUGACAGCUUUGAAGGCUUUGGACAAGAAAUCAGCUCAUGAUAAGGAAUUGAAGAAGAGCAAACCUGAGGAACGUGAUCACCGCAAUCUUUACCUGGCUAAGGUUGGUUCUAAAGCAAAACUUCAUUCCCCUAGGGGUUGAAGCUGUAUUGUUAUUGCAGAUUUGUAUUAGUUAUAGAUGAUCUCCAACAUGAUUUACCAUUUUUUUACUUCAAUCUCAUAGGAAGGUCUCAUUGUUGAAGGGACUCCAGCUGCUGAAGGUGUUUCAGCUAGUGACAUGUCAAAGCGCCAUAUGUAAGUUUCUCAAGAAACACUCUAAGGUAGAAAUGUAGGAUGAGAAGCAAUUUUUCCCCUUGAUAUUUGCACAUGCAUAAUGUGCAGUGAGAUAAUUGAGACUGAUAAUGGGUUUCACUUUGGAAGUCCCUUUUGUCAGAACAACUGAUUUCGUUCUUCUAACCAUCUAGACUUUUUAUUUAUUGCUAAAUUAGAUGAAGAGUCAACCUGUAGUUUAUGCAACAGAAGAUUGACCAGUGAUAAAUUGAAUGGGAAUUUGAAGCAGAUAGGGAGAAUAUCUUUCUCCCAUGUUGCCUUCUUUAUCUGAAUAUACUUGAAUUAUUUAGCUAUGAACAUGUUAAAAUUUCAGGUGUGCUCCAUGUUUAUGUUAUUAUUUGAACAAAGGCACAGAAAAAUACUUGGGAGUAUGUCAUAUCUUGAUUUGAAUCCUGCUAGUUCUGCUUGCUAAUCUUAACAUUUUGCUGCUUUAAAAUUUCCUAACCACGCCAGUUUUUGAGAUUAAAUCUUGUAUAUUUUGUAUCAGAUAUAAGAGUUAAAUACUUAUAUUAUAGAUGAGAUUUCUGUGUAUGUUACUCAUUGAUGAAGUGUGGUUUGAUGAAACUUAACUUGGAAGGAAAUACAAGCUGCAAUUCUGGAGGGAUGUUUAUUGGAAAUUAGUUGUCCUGGAGGGUUCAAUGCAAGGAACCUGAAGAGGGUUUAGAUUGAUUGGCAGGAGAGAGAGAGAGAGAGAGAGAGCAUAAUCUAACUUCAGUUAGUCAAUUGGCCACAUAAAAGACAUUAUCUAUAGAGUGCAUCUGCCCACGUUAAGCUGCAACUUCCUUAAACCCUAUCCUAGUUUAGUUAUUUUAAUUUAACUUAAAAGAUGAAAAAUAUGAUGAUGCACAAACUGCAACUCCCCUGGUACAGAACUACCCCUCACCACAUUUUCAACACUUUUCUUCAUGAUGAUAAAUUUGCAGCAAAUAGGAUACUCGUAGUGCCUACUUUGUGAAAUUUGGUUGUUUCUAUAAAGAAAAAGUACAAAUAAUUUAAAAACAAAUCACUCUUCAACUUGUGAAAAAAACCUGCAUGUAAUUAGAUCCACUCUUCAUAGACAAACUUGGGAUUUGUGAUCCCAGGUAAGAUCGGUUCAGGAUCAUGGCAUCCUUUUCUAUCAGAUAGGAAGGGCUGUUGCACAAAAUGUACUUCUAAGUAAUUGUCCCAUAGAUUCUUUAUAUAUUGUAUGAAGAAGAAAUCAUGUAACAAAGGGGAUUGUUAAUUGUACAAAUGGUACGUUGAACUUGGAAUGAAGAAAUUAACGUUACUUUAUCUUUUGAGUUGUUUUGCUGGAUCAAUUGCUCAAGACUUUUGGUCUCUACCCGGACCGAUGAAAAAAAUGGGAUCACUUCUUAUGGACUUGUUGAAAAUGAUUCUGAUCUAAUUCACAGCCUAUAAUAAGUAGAAGACACUCUGGUGGGACCUCAUGACUGGAGUAACAUGGAAAUGGGCCUACACUUGCUUUAAGGCAUGGAAGUUAAGACUUGUCCAUUUAUCUAAUGGUAAUUAUAUCUUUCGGGCCAAUAAGAAGUAAAAUGGUCCAUAUGUAUGUGGCCUGCCAUAGAUUUGGGUGUAAAUAUGUCUCAAACAGUCAUGCAUGUAACAAGGUUUGUGGUGAAUUUUUACUCACUUGGUUUGCUAGGCAUGAAAAAGAUAAAUCUGGUACAGGUUCUAACAUAGAUAUGACCCAUAAUUAACAUCUCCCUUUUUUUUUUCCUUCCCAUCUUUUACUUCUUUUAGUUUGUGUGUAUAUAUGAGGUAUGCAUCUCUUUAAUUCCUUUAUGGAGGAUAGAGGAAGAGCUGUAGAUCCACCACAGAUGCUCCCAUCACUAUUACUGUGGCUACAAUCUGCAGUGUGUUCCUGCAGCAACUCUGCAUCAUGCUUCUUCUUCAUCUUCUCCUCUUGAUUUUGUAGUUUGAUUGAUUCUUAUCUUCUUGGAAAAAUCUCUCAUGCUGUCUCUCUAAAAUUUUUCUGCUUCUCAACAUUCUAACUCUGGUUGUUGGCCUGCUUUUGUUUCAUGCUCCUUGCAAAGUUUCACUGCCUAAUCUCUGUGCAGGUUGGCAAGACAAAAAGAUACAAAAUUAGAAUCUCCAAAUUUUCAUGUUUCAAGGACUAGACUUAUCAUAUACAAUUUGCCCAAGUCAAUGACAGAAAAAGAAGUUAAAAAGCUUUGUAUAGAUGCAGUUACCUCACGUGCUACCAAGCAAAAACCCAUGAUUAAACAGGUUUGUUAUCCUUUUCAAUACUUGAGAAUCAGCUUACCUUCUCUAUGCCAAUUCUGAAUGUAAUAAGAUACUUCCUUUUAAAUUUGGUUUUCUAUUUUUUGUUUCUAAGCCACUUUAGUGAUGCUUAUGCAGAUAAAGUUUCUGAAGGAUAUGAAGAAAGGAAAAGUAGUCACAAAGAACCAUUCACGAGGAGUUGCUUUCAUUGAGUUUACAGAGCAUCAACAUGCACUUGUAGCCCUGAGAGUUCUUAACAACAAUCCUGGUAAAGUGUUUUUUAUGCCAUGUUUGGUUCCAAAAAAAUUAUUAAGGAAAAAAAAAAGUCGAGGAAAAAGAAAAUAAUUUUCUUUAGCAUUUAUUUUUUUUGUUUGAAAGGGGAUUCAACACUGAAAAUGCAUUUUUUUAAUAGUUUGAAACAUUUUUUUUAUUGAGAUGCAGAACUUUCAAUCUAUUCUGAUGGAAUGUGAUCUUAUGCUAUUUAUAGAAACUUUUGGUCCUGAACAUCGCCCAAUUGUGGAGUUUGCUCUUGAUAAUAUCCAAACAUUGAGGCAAAGGAGGGCUAAGCUGGAGGCUUACCAGCAGAUUAACCAUGGCUAUCCAGAGGACUUGCAGCCAAAUGAUGACCCCAACACACCAGAAGCCAGCCCAAACAAGAAGAUGAAAUCAAGAAAACGUAAGUCCAGGGAUAAUGAUGGACCAUUGAAGACUUCAGAACCCAAUGAAGGAGAUGAACCAGAAGAUAAGGUAAUCAAAGGAGCUGUCAUUGAUCGACAUGGAGCUGCAAAGAAACAUAAGAUUAAUCCAGCAAAAGAAAAACAGAAAGACAAACGCAAGAAGCUGAACAAUUCCCAUGGAAUCGGGAAGCCUGAUGAUGAAAAACCCUUAAAAGCAGAAAGCACAAUCAGCAAAGCCCGCAAUUCAAAGUCUUCAGAGGAAUCAAAUAUGCUACCAAAAAAGAGGAAGCUGCAAGAGCAUAUAGCAGUACAAGAAGGGAAAAGCCCGAAACAAAAAACAAGGACCCGAAGGAGUAAAGAUCCAUCAGGGCAGGUCAUACUUGAUAAGUUGGACAUGCUGGUGGAACAAUAUAGAGCUAAAUUUUCACAGCAGACUGAUGACAAAACUGAUGGCCAAAAACAAGGUUCCAGACAGCUUAAGAGAUGGUUCCAGUCAUAAUUUAUACUUAAGAUGGUUUGUAGCUGUGAGUGAUUUAUUCUUCCAUGGAAGGAACUGAUGUCUAAAUGCUUAAAUUUGUUGCACUGUUAAAAUUUUGACAAUUUCCGGAGGAUUGUAACCCUACAACCUUGCAAUUUUGUUACCCCACUUUCAAUGCUGCUGUCCAUGCUCUUCUGUUAUAGGUUUAUGUCAAGUAAAAGUCCAAGGCAUGGAAUUGGUUCUACUGAAAUUCAAAUUUGAACACUUAAAAAUAUACGUUAUAAAUUAAUUGGGAUUACGCAUAAGUGAAAGUAUGAGAUUCGACUAGCACACUGGCCGAGACUAUUUAAUUGAUGCCUUCUUUCUGGUGGGUGGGUCCCAUACGUCGACCCUUAUAUGAAAACUUGGUCAGUGGCUCGGGUUCAUAAAUGGGCGGAGGCCCCUCCUGUGAUCCCCUAGAGCGCGAAAUCACCAAACCUUCUAGGUUCUGCAUGCGAGUCCCAUCACUAAAGUAUUCUUUUUCUUUUUAAAUAUUAUAAAAAAAAAGUUAUUUAAAAAAUAAAUACAAAAAUACACAUGAACAUUAAAAGUACUUGUAAAAAAAUCCUAGUUACUUUUAAAUAAAUGUAUUAAAUUUAAAAUUUUCAAAUUUUGGUUUCUUAUUUUAUGAUUUUUUCUUUUUAGCUGAAUCCCUUGAUGAGUUCUAUGUCAAAUCCCUUAAAUAAUUUUAGAAUUAUUUUUUGUUCAACAACAUUUUAAAUUAAAAAAAAAAAAGGUUAUUGUAAUCUUGCAAAAAGCCCCAUCACAAGACUUCCUUCUUUCUAAGUGUUGUUGCACAACCCUUUCACGGUCCAUUGACUAUUGGGUCUAGAAUAAGUUUGUGUUAGGCGACACAUGGUUAUAGAGGGACUUUUUGUUGAUGGGACAAGACAAACUUUGUUUUGAGAUUUGUUUCUCAUAUAGGUCCUGAUGUAGCUCUUUCGCAUUUGUGCCUUAUCAGUCUCAUGGGUAGUUUGGUGGAUCUUUCAUGGCUAUGCUUCUUGGAUACCCGGGCUAGAUUGCUUGGCCUUUGGGGAGCUCACAACGCGGUAGGAUGCUUGGAUUUUCCGGUUACACUACGAGGGUUUAGUCAAGGGCAGGGUGUAGAAAUACGGGUCUGGAUGUGACGUGUCGAUCCCAACAAGGUGUUUAGGCCUGCUUGGGCCGCCAAGCACUGUGAUCCUUUUAGCAUAAGCAUCCUAAACACCCUAAUGGGAUAGACAUGUUGCAUCCAGACCCAUAUUUCGCCACCCUGCCUCAGCUAAGCACUUGCAUUGAAACUGGAAUAUCCAAGCGUCCUAUUACCUUGUGAGCUCCCUGAAGGCCACCCAAAGGCUGAGAGGUCUGAUAGAGAUAUACUAUUAACCAUGCAUAAGCGUGAAUUUAAUAGUAUGUUAUUAUGAUGUCAUUCUAUAAACAAUUAUUUCUUUGUAUUUAAUUGGAGAUUUGCAUUAGAUAAAUUAAUCUUUCGGCAUAAUUUAAUAAUAAUUGUGUUAGUAUAUUUUAUAUAUAACUAAUUGGACCAAGUAGAGAAUGAAUGUUUUGUACUGACUGUUAAAACAUAUUCUCUAGGACAUUAGAAAUAAGAUUUAUGUUUUUAAUCAUGAUUUAAUUAAUAUGAGCAAAUAUAAAAUGUCUUGUGUUUUGAUUCAUUAAAGAGUGAGUUUCAUUUAUUGGAGCGAUAAGACUCGAUGAGUUGGACAAAGACGCUUUAUGUUUGCGAUGUAUUAAAUAAUGAUUGAAUCCACGUCUCGGUAUAGAGAUUGAUGAUGCACUUUAAGUAAGCUUAUAAGGUUUCAUAGUGUAAACCCUGCAGGUAGAUUUUUAUCCGACACAUAAAUUAAGUUAAGCGACAAUCUUGAAGAUCUAUUGUUACUCAAAUAAAUUGUCAGUAAUUUGUUUGAUGUAAAUAGCAUCUGUAAUCUUAACGUGGGAAACAUAAAUUAUUAUGUAAUGGAAUUGUAAGAUUAAUAAGGAGUUCAAUCAUGAAUUUUUAGUGGUAUAAUUUGUGAUUAAUUAUAAUGAGAAUAUACUGGUUCUAUAUGAAUUCUUAUUAUAAUUAGUAGCCUUGUUAAUUUUAUUCCUGCGGUCCCUACUGUGCCUUAAUUGUUUGGACUAUACAUGAAUUAUGUGUUUUAAAUAAAUGAUAGAUUAGUUUUUAAUUAAAUUUUAUUUAAUUAAAAAUAGAUAAUCUAAUUUAUUUAAAAUGAGCAUUUUAAGGGAAAGAGAGUCACGCUUAUAUCGGUUUUCUUGAAGCAAAUUAUACGCUUAAGAGUUUCUAAGAAAGCGGUCUUCUUCCCAUUGAAGAGAGUAUAUUAGAAACAGAAAAGAGAGUGACAAAACCCUAGCUAUUGUUUUUUUUUGUCCACUCAGAAAUCAUAGUCCGGAAAUUGAUAAGGUAAACAACAGAAGAUUGUAGGAGAUUGUGGGCGUUUUCAGCAGAGAAAAAGGUCAGUCUUUUACAUAUGGUUUUGGCUUGCCUCCAUGCUUGUUUCAUCAUGAUUUGUUUCCGCUGCGUAAAUCAUGGUUUCUAUCAAGGUCUAGCCUGGGCAUUUAGGAGGCGGUUCUGAGUGGCACUUUCCCAAGAACUUCGUGUUGGAAUGUCGUAGGUUUUGUCUAGGUUUGAGCAGGAUAUAUUGGGUGGUAUCGUUUGGUCCUUUCUUGGGCAGGGUUGGUGGCUUUCGCUUGGUUCAUAUGCUUCACAUGAGGAGUGUGCGGCGUCCCUGGGGUCCCAUGGCUUUGUAGCUUCAUUGCCUAGGCUAGGGAUUGUAGUGCCUAGUUGGCACGAGCUAUUUGGUAGGCCUAAGAAGUGGUUUUUCAACAGCCUUCGUUAUACUUCCUCAUCUGCCGAAUGUGUUUGGGCCGCAUUGCUAAGUUGAACUACCAUGACCUCAUUCUCUUGUCUAUGUAGGUUGGCAGUUUUCCUUAGUUCAUUCAACUGCUUCUUACAUUCUACUAGUUUGGAUUCAAGUGCUCAUUGUGUCCUUUAGGGUUGCUCAUCCGCAACUGAGGGAGCGUGUACAUCAACAACGUGGAUGGUUCAUAGUCAAUUUCUGGAUUUUGCUCUCUUCCUACGGAUAAUACCAAUUGUUGUUGCACUACACUUUCAAGGUUCAUUAACUAUUGAGUCUCCAACGAAUCGAUGAUUUUGCUUAAGACUAGUAGGUAGGUAGAUCAUGGAGAGAGAAUUAAAUCCCCUUUGUUGAUGCGAGGUCAACUGGAAUCAGAUCUUCUCUUUGUUGUGCCACUGGAAGUCCCUACUCAGCAGUUGGAGGUUGGGCAAGCUAUUUUCCUGCACAAAGGAUGUCCAGACGGAUUUUCUGAGCAAACCCAUCCGAAGCUUAAAUUAGACACAGGUGAACUUGAACCUUUAGAGAUGAGAGUGAAUGGGCUAGCCCUUCUUGCGUACCUAGGUUAUGCUUGAGAUGGCCUUUUAUAAUGCUUAGGAGAGAGUCACUGUAGUGCUGAGUUGACACUUUGACUUUUACUGCAAUGAUGACUAUCCUGUAAAUGGUAGGACAAUCAUUAUAGUUUAAGGCGACUAGCUGAUGUCGUCAGAUGGUGUGUCAUGAUGUAUUUGCCCGUUGUUUCAGCCUGUUGGAGGUAUGAGACAAUGUGUGAUAAUCUUCUGACAUGGAUGUGAGGAUUAGGGAAGGUCCUAUCGGUUAUACCUAUGCCAAGAAAGAAUGAUUACAUGUAGUAAGGGAGAAUCGAAAGGUAUCCGAAAAAUGUUGCCUGCUUGAGGAGUUUAGUAUUCAUGGCUGCAAGCUUGUAUGGCCCGAAUGGGAAACUCCAGGUACUAUGGUGACCAUUCGGACGGUACUGAGAAGAGCGCCACAUGGACUAACACGCGAAUUGACACGUGGGGGAGGCCCUCACAAUGCCCUUUUUAACAUGUGCGCCUAUGUUCGGAUAGAGGUGUUGAGUUAGAAUGUCUCUUCAAAUUUCCCCGAUGUUUGUGGGACGCGUGUCGCUUAGGGGUUUGAAUGAGGGUUGUUUUUGUUGAGAUUGAUGUCAGGCGGCGCAUCGCCUCGGGAUAUGCUUCUAGAAGGCGUGUUUUUUGGGAUCCCUAAGGUUUUGGUCCCUUAUAAAUAGGGGAUUCCAGACCCUAGAGUCACAUUUUGAAUAUUUUCGCUUUUGGAACCCUUUUUCUCCAUCUUUCCUUCUGUACUCCCCCGCUUGGAACUCUGGUUGUUGUUCACUUCCAGACAAAUCCACCAUCUUUUCCAAUCUCAUUUUAGGCGGCUUCAUAUUUCGCCAACAGACUCAUUUCUAGGUUCUGGUAAGCUCGUUUUUCCUUUGCAUUGGCUUCCUUUCUCGUUUUUGCUUAUUUGGUUGGUUUGCUUGCUGCUUUGGGAUUGUUUUUGCAUUUUUAGGGAUAUUCUGAGUAUGAAAUGGACGCUGUGAAGUCCAUAGUGUGGGGUUUUAGAUUUUUUCUGGGGAGGGCAAUCGCCGUUAGUGGCAGGACUUGGGAGUACUUGUUAGAACUAGGGUUUAUUUUUCCAUGUCUCUUCCCUGCCGAUCCUUAGAAGGCUAUACCUAGGCUUUUUGGCCUGUGGUUAUUGUAGUGUCAUGGUGGGGAAGCCUUUAGUUGGGACUCUCUUGGCAAGUAGGACUAGGUAACUUGCUUAGGUAUGAGCUUAAAAUCCGCUAUUGCUGCUUGCUACAUAUCUGGGACACUGCCUGCUGGCGGAAGGGCCAGGUGACUGUUUUCUAACAUUCAACGUUGUGCCGUGCAGGUCUCACACAACCCACUGUUCUAGUAUGCCAACAAAAGGGGAUGUUGCUUUUACCAGCGUGGUUGGUAAGGGCUAGAAAGGUGGCCUGAUAGGACCAAGUUCCGGCAGUAUCUGUUCGGAAAAACCUACUAAACUCCUUAUUGAACGAGAGUUUUGGGAGAGUUUUCUCAUUCCGAAUGACAUUUCCUUACACUUGGUGGAUAGUGCUCCUAUGUCUAUUGAGAAGGAGUCUCCCAAUGCCAUUUUUUUUUAGUAAGGAGCAAUUCAAUGCAGGGCUCCACCUUCCCAUUCCUUCGCUCUUCAAAUAGUUCCUCCAUUAUACCAAAAUUCCUCUGGCUUUCAUUCAUCUGAAUGUUGUUAGGGUGCUGAUAGGAUGCAACAUCUUGGACAUGAUUUUUCAUUUGAACAUUUCCUUGCUAGAGGUCCUCUUUGUUUACACAAUCAAGAUGAGCGGGAAGAGUAUCUUCAGCUUAUCCGCUCAGAUCUAUUUUCUUUAAUUGGUGACAGGUCUUCCAGACUCCAAGGGCGAUGCUAGGGGGCACAUCCUUGUUCGGGACUCGUGGGCUGGUUUAGUUGAGCAUUCGGAUCGUGACUUUCGCUCACGUCACAUAUUGAGUAUUCUGGGUAGAAUUGGCUCCAUUUUCCUUUGCUUGCUCUUUGUAGUUUACCGGUUGUAGUUCUGGUACUAACAUUCUUGUUUUGUGUGACACAGGCAAGGAAAAGAGAGGUCGACUAGUGGAUUAAGUGGAGAAGGCCUCUUUUGACCUACUUAACAAGCUGUUCGUAAUUUCUGCGGGCAAAAGGAAUCAUCAGACCCUCAUAACGGACCGGAAUUUGCUGGCAGUUGUCUGGGAGCCUCAGUUGUACGUCUUCCACAUCAUUCCUCACUUACUCCUUAAGGUUUUGGUGCCCGGGGUGCAUUACGUGCUGAAGGAUCUUCCCUUCUACAAAGUUGUGCGUGAGGUAGACGUUAAGGUACAUCAGGACCGUCUUGAUCAGAGGGAGAGGAAGAGGUAAGAGGGGAUGCUAAGGCAAGUCCCGUGUGGGAACCGUCUGUCCACUACUUCCACCGUCCACCUCCCAACCAAAAAGAAGUUCGCUACUAAGGUUGCUAAUAAGGCGCUCGCUCCGGCACUCGUGUCUUCGUCCGCUUUGACUUUUGCCUCUUAACUCGCGGCUAGUAUUGAGCAGGACUUAGAGGAUGACUUGCACUUCUUGGGAGCUGAGCCGGGCACAUGGGUUGAGUCUGUGGUGCCCUGCGUCAUCCACGAGCUAGAGGAAGAUGAGGAAGACAUGGUGGCGAACCUACUAGCGGGGUUCAAGGAGAGGCAACGCAAGUGUCUUUCCAAAUCUAUUGCAGUCACUUCGCUUCUUGCUAAGAGGUCUUGUGCGAAUGACACCCAUGUGGAGCUUAUUUUGAAUGCACCUUCGGCGCCCAUGCCCCUAGUUGAUGCUGUACGGCCCAACAAUACGCCGGUUGCGAAGUCCCUUACUAGGAAAGAUGUCUGCCUGACACAAGAUGGGACUUCCAUUGGUCCAACCCAUGUUGGAGAUAACCUUGAUAGAAAGGACGCCUCAAUUCCUUCUCGUGUUCCAAGCUGGGACGAGAUGAAGGAAUUCCUGAAGUAGGUUCCCUGUUUUACUGAGGCCGAGCCUCUUUCGACCAACAUAGCAGACUUCUUCCCGCUCACCAAACGGGUUUCAGUGGACCUAGACGACAAUCCCUCGGCUAAUGUCGCUACUCGACUUCCAUACGGUACUCAAGAAUUCGUCGUUUCUCACAUCCAAUCGAUGUAGGACUACUUUGCUCAUGAGACGAUGGAAGUGGUAAGCCUUACCCCUCCUUAGUUUUUGAUUUCUGGUACUUGUUUUAAUGCUGCUUUUAGAUAGUGGCCGGCAUCCGCAACAUGAUGCGACAGCGUGCCUGUUUUUUAAGCGGCUAGAGGUCGUCGAGGUUAUGAAGACGUUCAUUACCCAACAGAUGGGUGGCAGUGAAGAAUUGCGCUCUAAGCUGGUACAGACAGAAGGUGAUUUUGCUGUCGCUUACAAGGCUAUUGCGGACGGAGCCGAGGCACUGAGGAAGACAGGGGAGUAGAGAGAGGUGACCCAAGCUGAGGCACGUCGGUUGAGAAUGGAAGAGAAUGAUGCGGAAGCCAAGUGCAGGGAUGUUGAACAAGAGAAUGAUCACCUAAAGAAAGAACUAGAGGAGCUCUGGACAGGGUUCGUUUCUUAGAAGAAGAAGUUGGAGGAUGAAUACCAAAAACAGGUUGAUGACAUGUUCUUAUUCGGUUAUCAAUAUUGUAUGAAGAAGAACGACAUCACCUAAAAUAUCCCCAGUUAUCCUUCUGAUGAUGAGGACACUGUAGCCGACAUCUCCACUCAAGGAGAUGAAGUUUCUUCUAUAGCUGACCCCUCUGUCGGGCAGUGAUAUUGCUUGUAAUUUUCUUUUCUUUAAUUAUCCUAACCGGAUUUGACAUUGUAAUGAACAAUUGUGCUUUUAAUGAAUACUUGUUUCUUUCUCUGCUUGUUUUUGUGCACACUUUACUUUUUUUCAAGCCAACUUAUUAGCAAUAUUAUUUCAAGUUAGACACAUUCCAGGUAUGGAACAUGGACACUCCAUCUAGUGUUUGCAAGUGGUAUGCCCCUGAGUCUCCAGCCUUAGCCACAACAUAGGGUCCUUCCCAAUUCGCUUAGAGUUUCUCAGUCCCUUUGUUAGCUAUGUUUUCAAAGACUUUUUUGAGGACUAAGGUCCCAACUUUGAACGCCCAUGGCCAGGCCUUUCUGUUGUAGUGGGCGAUGACCCUUUGUUGGUAGGAUGUUCUCCGGAUGACAACAUUUCCUCUUUCUUCGUUUACCCAGUCUAGAUGUCUUUCAAGCUCUUAAUUAUCAUUUCUUUGACCUUGGAUGAUCGUCUUGGCUAUAGCCAUGCCUAUCUCGAUUGAGAUGAUUACCUCCAUUCCAUAGGCAAGAUAAAAAAUGAUGGUUCCAGUAGGUCAUCUAGGGGUCGUCUAGUAGGCCCAUAGGACCCUGGGCAAUUCGUCUACCCACUUUCCUUUGGCCUCCUCCAGUAUUUUCUUCAGUGCAGGGAAUAUGGUUUUAUUUGUUGCAUCUGCUUGUCCGUUGCUUUAGGGAUAAUAGGGCGUGGAAUACAUAUUCUUGAUCUUUAACUCUGAGUAGAAGGUUAUGAAGGCAAUGUUAUCAAACUGUGACCCGUUAUCUGCUACAAUUGCCUGCGGGAUCCCGAAUUGGCAGACGAUGUUUUUCCAUACGAACUUAGAGACAUCCUUGUCUUUGAUGCUGGCAUAGGCUUCUAUUUCUACCAAUUUUCUGAAAUAAUCAGUGGUUAUGAGUAGAAACUUUUUCUGCACGACUGCGAUGGGUAGGAGGCCAAUUAUAUCCAUCCCCCACAGUGUGAAUGACUAGGGACUCGUGACCGGAUUGAAGACUUCGGAGGGCAUACGAGGUAUGAGAGUGUACCUCUGGCACCUAUCACAACUUUUGACAUAGUUUUCAGCAUCCUGUCUCAUGAUGGGCCAAUAGUAUCUUUAUGAGUGAGCGCGAUGUUCUAAGGUACGCCCGCCUGCAUGAUUGUCACAUACACCUUCAUGGAGUUCAACCAGAACAUACUGUGCAUCCGAAUCAUUCAAAUACUUGAGGUGCAACCCCCAAAUGAUCUCUUGUAGAGGCUGUCCCCGAUUAAAGUAAAGCGGGCAGCCUGUACUCAGAUAUGUGGGCCUGCUUUUCUUCUUCAGGAACCCGUACGAGGUAGCGAGCCAUGCGUUCAUCAUUGGCUUCGUAUUCCCCCUGAAUUUGCUUAAUGACUAGUUGAGGAUGCUAUAUAUUCUCACUUUAGCUGCUGCUAAAGUGAAGGCGAGGUCUAACCCGACCAGGAUUGCUUCAUAUUUAACUUCAUUGUUGGAGGCAGGGAAACCAAGCCGGAUAGUCUGUUCUAGCUGCUCACUAGUUGGUGACUGUAAGACAAGGCUUAUCCCGGAACUUGAGGCCUUGGACGCUCUGUCCACAUGAAGAACCCACUACCAUUCUUCAGGGGAUUCUAUGAGGUGGGAUGGCUGCUGGGAGACUUCAGCUAUAAAGUCAGCCAUGACCUGUCAUUUCAUCACCAGUCUAGGCUGAUAUUUGAUUUCGUACUUACUUAACUCUAUGACCUAUCUUAGCAUUCUCCUGGACAAGUCUGGUUUAUGCAGAAUGCUUCUGAGUGGUUGGUUCGUGAGUACAGUCACCUGAUGUGCUUGAAAGUAUGAGCAAAGCUUUUGAGUGAUGUUUUUCAAGGUUAAGGUUGUCUGCUCCAUCUUGGAAUAUCGAGUUUCUGCAUCAACCAUUGAUUUGCUUACGUAGUAGAUGAAUAUUUGUUCUUUGUCUUUCAAGUGACGAAAUUAACAACGUUGACCGCACAGUCAGACAUUGUUAAAUACAUGUAGAGUUGUUCACCGGGUUCUGGGCUACUUAGAAUGGGUGGUUGGGUGAGAUGGUGUUUGAUUCAUUUGAAUGUCUACUCACAAUCAUCCAUCCAUCCGGUCGUGUUUGCCCCUUUUAGUGUGAGGAAGAAGAACCUUAGCUUGUCUGUGAAUUGGGUUAUGAAGUGCCUUAGUACUGCUAGACGACCCAUAAGGCGUUGCAACUCCUUCUUGUUAUUUAGGGUAGACGUCUCCAUGACAACUCUUAUUUGGUCCGGAUUGACUUCUAUUGCUCUUUGGGUUACCAUAAAUCCCAAAAAUUUGCCCGCGCUAACACCAAAAGCUAAUUUAGCCAGAUUGAGUUUUAUGUUGUAUGCUCUCAUCAAGCGAAACGUUUCUUCUAAGUGCAAGGCGUGUUCGCUCUUGGUUUUGUUUUUUACCACAAUAUCAUCGAUGUAGACUUCCACGACCUAACCAAUUAGAGGUUUGAAUAUUUUUGUCAUGAGCCUUUGAUAGGUGGCUCUAGCGUUCUUGAGCCCAAAUGACAUGACUUUGUAGCAGUACAACCCGUGCGGUGUGACAAAGACGGUUUUCUCUUCAUCUGGCUAGAACAUAGGAAUUUGAUGGUAUAUGAAAAAUACAUCUAUGAAAGAAAGCAUCUCAUGUCCGGUAGUGGAGUCGACAAUCUGAUUUAUCCAAGGCAAAGAGAAGUUAUCAUUUGGGCAAACCUCGUUCAGAUUGGUGUAAUCAACACAGACUCGUCACUUUUCUCCAUUUUUUGGAACAACCACUACAUUCGCCAGCCAAUUUAGAUACUCCACUUCCUGAUAAAUCCGGCUGCCAACAACUUGUCUACCUCAGAUUGGAUGAUCUUUUGCCUAUUCGGGUGAAAACGUUGGACCUUUUGGCAGAUGGGUCUUAAGGAAGGUAUAACAUUAAGCCGAUAUGAGGUUACCGAUGGAUGAAUUCUGGGCAUAUUGGAGUGAGUCCAUGCGAAGACAUCUUUGUUUUGAUGAAACACGUCUUCAAGUAUUUUUAACUCUUUUGACGUUAGAAGAGAGCUGAUGUAAGUAACAUGAUCGCUGCUAUAUGAGAAAUGCAAGUGUUGAAGUGGAUUAGCUGUCAGCGGAUCUUUGUCCAUUGGGUUCUGUAAUUUCUAUUGCUUAUUCGCAUUUGCCGGAUUUAUGCAUGGCUUAAUACUGCUGGUGGAUCCGGAUUCACGUGCUAUUCGAUAACAUUGGCACGCGCCCGGCUGACUGCCAAAAAGGUCGAUCUGUCUGUCCUUGGUGAGAUAACUCACCAUCUGGUGAUACAUAAAGGGGAUGACCUUCAUGUCGUGAAGCCAUGUGCGUCCCAUGAUGACAUUAAAAGGGGACAAGUCUUCCACCACUGAGAACUACACAUUCUGGAUAAUUGGACCAGCCUGGACAAGUAGCACGAUGUCUCCUAGGGAAGUUGUUGAGGCUCUGUUGAAUCCAGAUAGUAUCCACUCGGGAUUCUCUAGAGCAGAUGGUGGGACUCUCAUUUGUCUGUAUGUUGACAUCUGUAAAAGGUCAACUGAGUUACCCGGAUCGACUAAAAUCCUUCUCACAUCAAAAUCACUUAUCCCCAAUGUCAGGAUUAGGGCGUCUUCGUGUGGCUGUAGUACCCGAUUGGGGUUUAUUGGAAGGAAGGUGAUUGUCCUAUCCACUGGGCGUGCACCCCCACUUGGCAAGUUGUGCUAGAUGGAGCUGACCUGUUCUCUUACGGAGGCUACUCGGAAAAGUCUUUGCUUUUUUUGCUUGGAAUUGUAUUUUUCGUCAACGCCCCCCCCAUGGAUGUAGUUGAUGACAACUCUGGGAGCCGCUGAGGUUGUGGGUACUUGGGUGGCCAAAUUCCAAGUUGUUUCCCUUCGUGCUCCGUCAGAGCGGAUGUACUGUUUCAGGUGUCUAGCCUUGAUUAGUCUCUCUACUAAGUAGUGGAGACUUCUACAUUACUUCGUGGUAUGACCAUGAUCUUUAUGAUAAACACACUUCUUGUUCCGAUCUUGUUUUUCCGGAUUUGACUUAAUUGGCUCUGGCCACUUGAAAUCGGACAGAUCUCGAAUAAUGGGAUAAGUUUGUCGUAUGAGAUACUGAGGGGGGUUAGGCCAACUUGGUUAAGCUACUAUUGUCCGUUCCGUCCCUUGCCAACUUGCCUUAGCUAGUUUGAGGGUUUAGAGUUUUCGGCAUGGUCGUUUCUGGCAGGUCGACUGGUAACCAGGACUUGUUGUGUGGUCGCGCGGACGUCGUCUUCGAGCAUGGAGUAUUUUUUUUGCUCGUUUAAAUAGGUCUUCCAUCGUUGCGGGCGAUUUUUUAGCGAGAGAUUCAAAGAAAGGUGUUCCGGGACAGAUGCUUCUUUCAAAGAUUUACAAGAUGACAUCCAUAUUGCAUGAUUCUACUUGGAGCACAACCUAUUCAAAUCGUUUUACGAGCUCUCUCAGGGAUUCAUUUUCCUGUAUCUUUAUGUUUUGCAGGGUACUUAUGUUAUGCUUGUGUCGAGUUGAACAUAGGUAAUGUCCCAUGAAGGCUUCCGACAAGUCCCAGAAAUUACUCAUGGAGUUUUUUAGGAGGCGGUGGAACCAUGAUAGAGUCUGGUCGUGCAGGAUGGCUGGAAAGACUUUACAUAACAACGCGUCAUUUCUUAUGUCGAGGGUCAUGAGCUGCCUGUAAUGCAUGAUGUGAUCAAACAGAUCACUUGUUUCGUCGUAUGUUGUGAAUUUCGACACUAUGAACCCUCUUGGGGGCUCAUAGUCGAUGAUGUAAGGUCUGAAAUGCGUGGAGAGCAUGUCAUCCAAACGCCUGCUAAUAGAGCCAAACGGACCUGACUCAACCAGAAGCCUAACAUGUGGUUGUGCUGGUGGAUGGGGAGGCCAGUCUGGCAUCACCGCUGUAGCCAAGGAACCAGGAUAGAUCUCCUGGGCCGUUGCUACACGUGGUCUCCCUUCCACGCCAGGUGUUUGAGGCCCCAACCGUGUGCGCAUUGCAUCAGAUAGUUGCGACAUCUUGUCGUGUCUCCUUUUUGUUAAGAUGCGGGUGAAGUCAAAGCUUUCAUCUAGCAACAUUGGGCAAGUUGGUGGAACCUUCUCUUCAGGCUGUACCUUCUGACUACUAGAGGGAAACUUCGCAUUUUUGGGAAAUGACACUUCUUCAUUUUGUUUGGAGUCCGUUCAUUGGCUUUUGGGCUGUCGACUACCAGAUGAGCCUGAUGAAGAUACCUGGAUACGCAACACGUCGUUCUCUUCUCGAAGUCUCCUUGCCUCGCGGACCAGGGCUUGCACUUGUCGUUCACUCUCUUGCUGGUGUCUUUCCAUGUUUUCACACCAGUCGAAGUAGCCUUCGCUACCCAUGGUUGAUGAUCGGCUUCUCGAGGGCGUUGACAUCCUUAAUUGUUCCCACAGAUGACGCUAAUAUUGAUGCGAGGUCAAUUGGAGUCAAAUCUUCCCUUUGUUGUGCCACUGAAAGUCCCUACUCAGCAGUUGCAGGCUAGGCAAGCUAUUUUCCUGCAUAAAGGAUGUCAAGACGGAUUGUCCGAGCAAGCCCCUCCGAAGCUUAAGUUAGACACAGGUGGGCUUGAACCUUUAAAGAAGAGAGUGAAUAGGCUAGCCCUUUUUGCGUACCUGGGUUAUGCUUGAGAGGGCCCUUUAUAAUGCUUAGGAGGGAGUCACUAUAGUGUUGAGUUGACACUUUGACUUUUACUACAAUGAUGGCUAUCCUAUAGAUGGUAGGACAAUCAUUACAGUUUAGGGCAGCUAGCUUGUGCCAUCAGAUGGUGUGUCAUGAUGUAUUUGCUCAUCGUUUCAGCCUAUUGGAGGUAUGGGGUAGUGUGUGAUAAUCUUCUGACAUGGAUAUGAGGAUUGGAUGUGAGGAUUGGGGAAGGUCCCAUCGGUCAUACCUAUGUCAGGAAAGAAUGAUUACAUGUAGUAAGGGAGAAUCGAAAGCUAUUCGGAAAACGUUGCCUGCUUGAGGAGUUUAGUACUGUUGGUUGCAAGCCUGUAUGGCUCGGAUGGGAAGCUCUGGGUACUAUGGUGACCAUUCGGAUGGUAUUGAGAGGAGCGCCACGUGGACUAACAUGCAAAUUGACACGUAGGGGAAGGCCCCCACACCCCUCCGCCCUUUGUAGCCCUCUUUAUAUAGGUUUCCCUUAUUGAAUCUUGAUUGGCCAAAUGGUUUAACUUCUUCCUUAAGAAAUGACAAGUUAAAGGGUCAAAUGUUGAGGGUCGCGUCAAGCUUAUUAUUGGUUGGCCAAGUUUGUGUUAGGCGACGUGUGACUGACCAACAUAACGGUUUUUUGUUGAUGGGGCAUGGCAAUUUUGUUUUGGGAUUCGUUCUUGGUGUAACUCUUUGUUAUUCACGCCUUGUGAGUUUCGUGAGUGGUCCUAUGGAUCUUUCUCGACUAUGCUUCCAAUAUACCCAUUCUAGAUUGCUUGGCCUUCGAGGAGCUUACAAUACAAUAAGAUGAUUGUGUUAGAAAUAUGAGAUUAAUCCAACCUAUGGUAAUCACCCUAGAGAGGGGGUGAAUAUGGUGAUGGUCUCUUUUUGCAAAUUUAAACUAAGUGAAUGUAAGAGACAAUUUAUAUGCAAGUAUAUAAUAAGCAAUAUAAAGACAAUUGCAUAUAAAUUAAAGAGUAUUGAAGAGAGAAUGCAAACACAAGAGUUUAUAGUGGUUCGGCGCAACCCGACCUACAUCCACUCUCCUCUAGCUUCAAUUCUAAGCUUGAGGUUCCACUAAUUCAAGGCUUCCAAACCAAGCCUUCAAGCAAUACAAUUGGAUUAUGGUUCCAAUUCACCCUCUUAGACUUCUGGCUCCAAGCACCCUUUACACUUCUCAAUAGAUACCACACUUUUGAGAAACUUCCUCUCAAAGGUUUACAAAUAAAAGAUCUCACAAAAAUCCUAGCACAAGAACUUUAAGCUUAAAUGAUACAAGAAAAUUAGGAUUGAAAGGUGCACUAAGGAUAUGCAAGUUUUAGAACAAUGGUGCACUCAAAAACACUCUUCCAAGGCUCAAAUAUAAUCAAGAAAGGUUUGGGAAGGUUAAGCUCUUGAAACAAUGAAGAUUGGAGCCUUAUAGAAGAGAAAAACCAAACUAGCCGUUUGGGGUUCGACUGGUUGAGCUAAGGGUCGACCGGUUGACUAGCCAUUAACAUUUAAUGCUUGGCAGGUGAUCGUUGGGCCUCAAUCGGACCUCAACCGGACCUCGACCGAACCUUAAUCGGUUGAUGUUCAACCUUGACCGGUUGAACAACCGUUCUGGAAGAAAGAGAAAGUUUUUUGCACCCUCGACUGAUUGAGUUGGGGGUCUACCCGGGCCUCGACCAGUUGAGUUGGGGGUCGACCCGGACCUCGAUCGGUUGAACUUGCGGUCGACCGGUUCCUCACCCGAUUCAACUGGUUGAGUCGUUUUUUGACUCAACAAUCAACUUUUUCAACUUAAAACCUUUUAAAACAAGUUUGAAAGACAUUUAACACAAGGUUUUAGUUGAAAACAUGAAAUCAUCCAAUUCUUAAAAUAUUUAAAACAAAAUAACUCUUGGAUGAUUUUGGUGCAUAAGUAAAGAAUGUAAUAUAUGGAAAUCCUAGUGUACCAAUAACCUUACAAAGAGAUUUUAUGAAGCUUGGGUCUUGAAAAACACUUCUCUUUGAGGUGAUCUUCUUCUUCAUGAUUUUUUUCUUGACUUGAUUUGUCUUUAUGAUUGCCACUUUGGAAAUCAUCUUGUCUAAUUACACUUGAAAUAUAAUUAUUAGUUCUAAACCUUAUUUUGUUAUCAUCAAAAUCAAGAUUAAUCAAACUUUGGUUUCACAGAUUGGAUAUUCCAAUUAUGUUACGGGUGUUUAGUUGAGGGCAGGGCAUCGAUGGGUUUGGAUGCAACAUGCCAGUCCUAACAAGGUGUUUAGGAUGCUUAGGCCAAAGGGUGAACGGUGCUUGGCAAAAUAAGCCACUGUUGGUAACCCGAUACCUCCAUUAACUAUGAAAUUCUAUUGUUUUAAAAUAAAUGCCGAAUUCAAGGGAAAUUGUGAUAAAGACACCAAUUUGACAAAUAUGUUUUUUUCCCUCAAUGGUGAUGAAAAUUAAAUAAAUUUAGAAUCCUUUACACGGAGAAAGCCAAAAUUAGACCCCUAAAAACCAAUCCAUUUUAGGGCCCAGCAAUUGUACCAAAAGAAUGCGUGAUAAAUACUUGUAAAAGUUAUAAUUUUUUUUUUAUAAAAAAAGGACAUGCUAGGAUCAUGACACUGCAUAAGCGACUAGUGCAGGGAAAAGAGAAAGUGAGAGGAAAAAGUUGAUGUACUGAUGAGUGAUGAUCCCAUAUCAUAUUCUACCCAAACAAAGCAUUUAUAUGGGUCUGUCUCAAAUAAAAUUGAUGUCAUCAUCCCAAAAUAAAAUAUGUCAAUAUCCAUUUGAUUAAAAGCUAAAAUUUCAGCUUGAAAAUAAUGUUUAUUAAUCAAGUUUUAUAGUAGUGAGGUUCUUCAUCAAAAUAUAAUUUUUUUAAAAAUAUAUUUAAAAGAUAAUAAUUAAAAACUAUAUUCAAAUCCAAGAGAUUGCAAGAUAGAUAAAAUCACUUCUUUAACGAUUAUUCAAAUAUGAUGUAAUUACAUCAAAAUUGAUUUUUGGAAAAAUAAUUGUCUAAUUUAAAAUUAUAUUAUUUUUAUAUAAAAGUCCUAUUCAAAGAAUGUAUAAAAAUAGGGUUUUUUUUUAGAGUGAUAUCAUUUAUUUAAUUUUAAGUUUUAUUACUUUAUAUUCAAUGUUCACGCUGAAGCCUUUGGUUACACGUGAUUAUUGGCCUGUUCGAACGGGAAGAAAAGUGAAGAGAGGUGUGGAAAGGGUGGGGCCACUCAUGGGUGGGUGUGUUGUGGGAGACACAAGAGUCCAUUUUGUCAAAAAAGGCAAAGGGUAUCGUGUGUGGAUAAUAAAGUAGCAAUUGAAAGCAUCCUAUGUCAAAUUUUCAAACGGGCUUCUAUUAUUCACCGACACCGUAAUGCUCAUAGCCCUCAACCUCAUCACCACUAACCUUGACAAUUGUAUCUAUUAUUUACCUCUCUAACUUUACCAAAAUAUAAAACUUUCAAAAUUUUCUCCUCGUAUUAAAGGAAGUAUAUCGUACUUAAAAUAAUUUUAUUUUUUUAUAGUUUCAUUUUUUUUUAAUGUUUUUUUAGUUAUAUAUACAAUGAACCUAUUGAUGGAUUGAAUGUAUAAAUAUAUGAGAUUGAAAUCAUAUAUAAAGGCAAAGUGAUGACAUUUAGAUAUAUAAUAUUACUUGAUUAAUGAAACAUUUUUAUAAUAUGAUCCUCUAAAAAUGCCUUUGCAUAUCAUAACGGACCCUUUUAUUUCUUUGUUUAGUGAUAAAGGUUUUGAAUUAUUAUUUUUAUUAUAUAAAUAGAUAUAAAGAGUUUUCAAAUAAAGUCUUGAAAAGCAGGCAUUUAGAAAAUCUUAUGUACAGAGUUUAUAUUAAGAGUGUGGGAGUUCAAGGACCAAUUUCAAACAAUCUCAAGAAACUUUUAUUUAUUCAUUUAUGUUAUUUAAGAAAUAUUCAUCGUAAUUCACCCAUGUAUUUGAAGUGAUUGUAACUCCUAUCGAUUUAAAGAAAUAGCUUAAAUUAUUUUAAAGCUUCAGUAAUGACAAACAACUGUCAUUCUCGCAAUUUUUUUUCUUUGAUCUUCAUAUGCUAAACAUCUCAAUCUUCUCAACAACCCUCUAUUCUCAAGUUUCCCACCACCUUCUUCAAUGGGCGUAAAUGCUUCCAAAAAUAAGUAAAAUACGGAAGAAAGAAUCCAAAUUGAAUGAAGCCUCGUUUGUAAUUUUGUUGCGGAGACUGGAGACACCACAAGAGGCUCUACUGCUCACAUUUCACAUAUCUUUUGCCUUUUUCAUUUGUCUUCAACCAUUCUCUCUUCUUGUCUAAGAUAAUGGGAGCUAUCUCAGAUUCCAAGUGGUUUCUUCUGUGCAUGUGGGUGUUUCUGUGUAUUCAGCUGACCCAGUGUAGUGUAACCUAUGACAGGAAGGCUCUUAUCAUCAAUGGGCAGAGGAGAAUUCUCUUCUCUGGGUCUAUCCACUACCCCAGAAGCACCCCUCAAGUACACUACUUUCCCACAUUUUCCUGAGAAAAUGUGUUUGCAAUGUGGAAUUUUCCUGACUUUUUUCUACAAUGUAGAUGUGGGAAGGCCUCAUACAGAAGGCCAAGGAUGGGGGCUUGGAUGCCAUAGAUACAUAUGUGUUCUGGAACCUUCAUGAACCUUCUCCUGGGAAGGUACUAUGUCUUCUCUUCAUUCUCUCUCUACAGUUCUACUCUGUUUUACCUAUAUUUUCUUUCAUUAUCUUGUUUAUAUUUCAUCUUUCUUUUCUCUUCUUAUAAUUUUUUUUUUCGGAUUUCUGGGUUUUAGUAUAACUUUGAGGGGAGAUAUGAUUUAGUUCGGUUCAUCAAGCUGAUCCAGAAAGCUGGGUUAUAUGUGCAUCUUCGCAUUGGGCCUUACAUUUGUGCAGAGUGGAAUUUUGGGUACUUUUACCAUUACUUGAUGAUUUAUAGAGCUUGAUACGAAAUGGGUUUACGCUUUUCAAAUUCACCUUUUUCUUCUUUCCUUUCGGUGUUUGAUUUUUUACCCGCUUUUUUUCCAGGGGUUUUCCUGUUUGGUUGAAGUUUGUUCCAGGCGUUAGCUUCAGAACAGAUAAUGAGCCUUUCAAGGUCUUUCUAUAUAUGGAUUCUGCACAAGCAUAUAUUGAUUUUGUGUCUUCAAUCAUCAGUCUUUUAGAUAAUUACUGAUAUAUUUGUUGUUUAUGUUUUCCAUAAUGUAGAUGGCAAUGCAAAGGUUCACCCAGAAAAUUGUCCAAAUGAUGAAAAAUGAGAAGUUGUUUGAGUCCCAAGGUGGCCCUAUCAUCAUCUCUCAGGUUUGGUUUUUGGGUUCUGCCUUCCUAUUCUUGUCCGCCAUGGCACAUUAAGCAUUUCAAUACUGCAAAUUUUUUAGGUGUUUCUAUAUAUGUCAGAAACUUUGAGUUCAGAUUUUGGGGAGAAAAUGCAGAACAAGGAUUAAUUUAGUCAUGGCGAUGAGAGUCCCACUAUGUGGUAAAACUUAACAGUGUUUCAACCAAUUCUUUAUGUAGAUUGAGAAUGAAUAUGGCCAUGAAAGCAGGGCAUUUGGAGCUCCUGGGUAUGCAUACCUGACUUGGGCUGCAAAGAUGGCAGUUGCAAUGGAUACAGGGGUGCCAUGGGUUAUGUGCAAGGAAGAUGAUGCCCCUGAUCCAGUGGUGAGCAAUUUCAUACUUUUUGCACAUGAAACCUAGCGCUCCCGUUUGCUACAUAACCUUGAACAAAUUAAGAAGCUACCUUUAACGAUCUUCCUAUUUUUUUGUUUUCUUGAACUUCAUCACUAUUAGUAUAACCAUUUUACUUGUGGGAUUUUGUAUAUAUUUAUUGCAUUACCUCCCUGUUAUCUGGUGGGCUCUUUUUACAAGUUUGUGAGAAAGAAGAAUAAUGAAGAAGUAUGUUAGGAGCAAGUUUGGCGGUUUUUGGCUUGAACUCCCGGUUAGUUUCAAAGAUGCAAAAUUUUGAAUCCAUUUUUCUGUAAAUCUUGAUGACAGAUUAACACGUGCAAUGGUUUUUAUUGCGACUAUUUCUCUCCAAACAAACCAAAUAAGCCCACACUAUGGACUGAGGCUUGGUCUGGCUGGUAAAUUUUGACAUCUAUAUCCCCCUCAAAGAUACACACCAUGAAAUGCAAAUUUACUGUCUCUCUCUUUUAAAGGUUUACUGAAUUUGCUGGCCCAAUUCAACAACGGCCGGUUGAAGAUUUGUCAUUUGCAGUCACCCGGUUCAUUCAAAAAGGGGGCUCCUUUGUUAAUUACUACAUGGUCAGUUGCAAUUCAAUUUCUUAGUUCUUUGCUAAUUUGAUAUUGAUGCAUUUGGUAAUAUGGAAAAGUAGACCUAUGAAUAGUUCCAGAAGAUAAUUGUGUGGAAUGUAGAAAAAAACUUCCUUGUACUUCUUGUUGGCUGCCUAGAAAACAGAAGGACAUGUAUGAAAACUUGGCAUAUCAAGGAAGGCAUGGCAGUUGUUCAAUUCCAAGCUUUCUCUACUUUCAAGCAAUCAACCGAAAAUCAUUUUUACUGACAUUGCUCUCUGGAGCAUAUGCUUGCUUCAAGCCUUUUCAUCUCUCCAAUGAUAGCAACAUUAUAGACAUGGGAGCUUCAUUUUGCUAAAUGAAGCUUAUUUAUGUAUCGUUUCUGACAGUAUCAUGGAGGAACCAAUUUUGGAAGAACAGCUGGAGGUCCUUUCAUUACCACUAGCUAUGACUACGAUGCUCCAAUUGAUGAAUAUGGUGAGAACACUCGCCUGUUUUAGUACCUGAAAGGCCCAUCCUUCGGUUUUGUAGACGCAACAUAUAAUUGUUGCACUUCUAACUCACUAGUGCCUGAUUCUGAUUUGAUAGGGUUGAUAAGACAACCUAAGUAUGGUCAUUUGAAGGAGCUCCAUAAGGCUAUUAAAUUAUGUGAACGAGCAUUGUUAUCUGCUGAUCCUGCUGAGACUUCCUUAGGAACUUAUGCAAAGGUUUGUCAUCAUUUUUAUUCUGAAGCAACUUCAAUGGCUUCCGACUCAGUCUUUGUAUGGUUUAAGUUUAGUAAGUCAUGAAUCAGAAGUGGAGAUAUUCCAAGUGCUCAUUUUUGAGGUAGGAAGAGAAGAACACUGUUGGUGGCAAGCUAUACCAUUCCUUUUUCAGCCCUGUUAAGCAGUACGCUUGAACUAUGCCGUUGGAAAUCGAAAAAAUUAUCUUCCUUAAAUGGCUUUGAAAAUAUCCUAAAAUCAUUCAGAAUUGAGAUUUAACUCGAUGUUAACAUUUUCAGGCACAAGUAUUCUAUUCUGAGUCUGGAGGCUGUGCAGCUUUUCUCUCAAACUACAAUCCAACAUCAGCUGCAAGGGUGACAUUUAACAGCAUGCACUACAACUUGGCACCAUGGUCCAUCAGCAUCCUUCCUGACUGCAAAAAUGUUGUCUUUAACACUGCCACAGUGAGUGAAACAGAAGAUAGUAGUAAGGGGAUGCUUUUGAUUAUGCAUAAAGUAAAUGGCUUCAUCUAUUUUCUGUGGCAAGCCAUUUUCAAGAAAGUUUGACCUAAUCUUAUGUCAGGCUUUAUAAGAGACAUUGUCAUUACCAGACCUUGCCAACAAUGUUGAUUGCGCCUUUAUCCAGAAAUUAUUUUCUGUACAGACAAAUGCAGUCUAGAUGAAUUAGCAUGAGUCUUUGUAGUGUACUAUUAAUUUUUUUUAUACAUGCCGAGGUUAUGUAGGCAUCUCUGUCUGUUGCAGGUUGGAGUUCAAACAUCCCAAAUGCAAAUGUUGCCAACAAAUUCUGAGUUGCUCUCAUGGGAGACUUUCAAUGAAGAUAUAUCUUCAGCUGAUGAUGAUUCAACUAUCACAGUUGUUGGUCUCUUGGAACAGUUAAAUGUUACCAGAGAUACCAGUGACUAUCUCUGGUAUUCAACCAGGUGCGAUGAAUCAAAUUUUCUAGUAUGUUGAAUAUAUAAAUAUUGCAAUUUUACCUUUCUAUUCACAUCCAUCCAGGAUUGAUAUAAGUUCGUCUGAGUCAUUUCUGCAUGGAGGCCAGCAUCCUACUCUCAUUGUCCAGUCCACAGGCCAUGCUAUGCAUGUAUUUAUCAAUGGACAUCUUUCAGGUACACAGCUUUGCUGACCAAUUAGUUUCAAAUAUGAUGUAUAAUCUCUUUGAGAUAGUACACAAUUACUUGAUAGUUUGUAUCAUUGUGCUCCUAUUGCAGGCUCUGCCUUUGGGACUCGGGAAGACAGGAGAUUUACUUUUACAGGAGAUGUCAACCUGCAGACUGGGUCAAAUAUAAUCUCAGUACUCAGUAUAGCUGUUGGACUGCCAGUUAGUAUCUAAAUCACAGUUUAUUUUUUUUGAUAGCUCUAAAUCGCAGUUUAUAUUAGAGCUAGUUUCCUAACACCUGAAUGCAACCAUGGUAAAACUGCACUCAAAUCAAGAAAGUACUGCUUGGCUUAGUAGACCCAAUGUUUAUUAUGAGCUGCUGAAGAAGGUUUGAAAUUUAAAUAUAAUUUUGAAACGAAUGAUAGAGUUUUGGCAAUUCAGUUAAGUCUAUUUUCAGAUUUUCAACACUAUGAUACUUCAACUUCUUUCAAUCUUUCUGUCAAAAACCAAAAUUUCUUCCCUUCUGUCUUUCAUUUGUUUGGCCAAUUUAAACUUAAAAGGGUUUCUGUUUGUCAUGGUUGAAGAACAAUGGGCCACAUUUUGAAACAUGGAGCACAGGAGUCCUAGGACCAGUUGUUCUCCAUGGGCUAGAUGAGGGAAAGAAGGAUUUAUCCUGGCAGAAAUGGUCAUACCAGGUGAAUGAAUUUGUUUAUGAUGCAUUGUUUAUCAGGAGACGGUUUUUGCUAAAUAAGCUUGUCAUUUUCCAGGUUGGGCUCAAGGGAGAAGCCAUGAAUCUGGUUUCUCCAAAUGUAAUUUCAAACAUUGAUUGGAUGAAAGGAUCAUUAUUUGCUCAGAAACAACAGCCACUUACAUGGUAUAAGGUAUGGAAACAAUGGACAUAUGGUAUUAGAGUUGUAUCUAACGACCACUAAAAUCUAUCACAUCCAAAACAGCCAAUUUUUGUUUUACUCUGAUGGUAGGUUGUAUACCUGUAUUAUCUUCUUUCCAAAGUCAAUUUUCAACUGUGAGACUGGUUGAAAUUAAAAAGCAGCUUCAACAAAAAUGAUAAAUGAUUUCUAAUGUCAGCUGUAAUGGAUUCUACUAUCCAAAUUUAGGAUUCUUUGUUAAGCAAUAAAAAUGAAAGUGAGAAAUAGUGCUUGGGCAUGUAGAAAUAUCUUCCAAAAGGAAAUUAAAUUGUAGAAAUGUGCAGGCUUAUUUUGAUGCACCAGAUGGAGACGAACCUUUGGCUUUAGAUAUGGGUAGCAUGGGGAAAGGUCAAGUAUGGAUAAACGGGCAAAGCAUUGGAAGAUAUUGGACUGCUUAUGCCAAAGGUAAUUGCAGUGGGUGCAGUUACUCUGGGACGUUCCGAACUACAAAAUGCCAAUUUGGUUGUGGUCAACCAACUCAAAGAUGGUAAGGACAUCCUCAGCCUUUUCAUUCAGGUAUGAAGCAGGAUGGAAGAGUACCUAAAGGAAAAGAAUCUUGUGUUUCCAGGUACCAUGUUCCUCGGUCUUGGUUGAAGCCAACCCAAAAUCUAUUGGUACUUUUUGAGGAACUUGGUGGGGAUGCAUCAAAGAUUUCUUUCAUGAAGAGAUCUGUCACAACUGUAUGUGCUGAAGUCUCUGAGCAUCACCCAAACAUUAAGAAUUGGCAUAUUGAAAGUCAAGAAAGACCCGAGGAGAUGAGCAAGCCCAAGGUUCACCUGCAUUGUGCAUCUGGGCAAUCCAUUUCUGCUAUUAAAUUUGCCAGCUUUGGAACUCCAUCUGGGACUUGUGGGAAUUUCCAGAAAGGAACUUGUCAUGCUCCAACGUCACAAGCUGUCUUAGAGAAGGUACUCAAAAUGCUCCUCUCUGUUUUUAUAGUCCACUUUCACUAAGCUUCUAAAAUUUCCAUUUCAAUGUCAAAUUCUGAACUGAGUUAAAAACUAAAUCUUAAAAUUCAUAUAUAGAUUGGAUCCUCAUUUUCUCCCUCUUUUCCUUGUUGCCAGAAAUGCAUAGGACAGCAGAAGUGCUCGGUAGCAGUAUCAAGCAGUAACUUUGCAAACCCAUGUCCAAACAUGUUCAAGAAAUUGUCUGUGGAAGCUGUUUGUGCCCCUAGCACUACGAGUAAUGCCUGACCAAAUUCAAGGGUUUGACAUAAGGUCAGGAAAUCAAACUCCACAUAUCCAUUGCCUGCUGCAUUUGUUUUAACUGUGCAUAGCAGCAACUAAAGAAGCAAACAAUGUGAAAUGAAUACAAGUGUAGGAAAAAAGGACUACUUUAGUUAGUUUUGUGGCAUGUCACAUUCAUUUGUGUAGGCAAAGAAUUGUACUUUGACAGCUACUUGUUGCUGUAAGCAUUUAUCUUUAAUUCAGAGGGUGGCUUUCAUGGAAUAGUGGUGUUUGUGAGGUUCAGUUAACAAGUUUUUGUGGAAAUGUCCUGGUCCCUGCCUUAUUCUCCUUUCAUCAUUAUCAUAAAAGAAUUUCACAUAUAGAACACUUCCCAUUUGAAGUAACUGAUGGGGUUAACGAAUUGGAUUCUGAGGUGGGGCUGAAGUCACAUAAAAUAUGCAUAAAGUUUUAGCCUUUUUUGUGAGGCAAAUGGACACUUUGGGGGGUCCCCAUUAUUUUCUCUACCUAAGCACUGCCUAAAAAAAUGAGGUUGGAAUGCAAGAACUAGUUUAACAAUGACCCACUUGUUUUUGGAAAAUACAUUGGUGCAAGUUGCCCUGAUCCUGGAUCUCCAGAAACAACCAAGGAAUCCAAUAUUAAUGGUCCUUUGAGCACAGAAAGAUGUGGGAAAGGCCUAUUUUUUCAACACAGGCUUCAUUUAGAGCACAACAUUUUGCUAAUAGGACCACUCGAUCAUCUUCUACUUUGGUUCUGGCAGGUUUCUGCAAUUCAGAGGUAGAAUAAUUUGAUGAUAGAAAUGAGAAAUCCAAAAGAACACAUUACCAACCACUGGAAUCUGGAUAUUUUCCAUUAGUAGCCUUACACUUCACAAGGGUCUGCUUCAGCUCAUCUUUCUUUGUUGCAGUAACAUACUGGCUGGUAGCUGAUCAUCUGAAAACUAACCAACAUUGAGAUCUAUCAGUUAUUCUAAUAAUACAACACUGGAAAAUGAAGAAAAAUUAUCUAGUUCUGAAGGUAGAUCCUUCCCCAGUAAGUAAUAUCAAGACAGUAACUGAUGGAAUUCCUUUCUAGUAACUCCAUGUCGUGCAGAAAAAAAUGUUAGCAGUAGUGUUCGGGAAAUUACUUGAGCACAAAGUAUCCAAGCCAACAACACAACCAAAGAAUUAUUGCAUUAAAAGGGAUGCAAAUGGUGAUUGGAGGUAUCCUAGUUCUCAUUGCUUCAAUGCCCAUCUUUUUGGACAGAAGGAUGAUUUGGAAACCAUCCUUUGUCCUUUUCUAGUGCAAAAAGAAUGCACAUUUUGCCUCUGCCUCAUCUUAUGUGGCGCCUGCAAAAGUUGAGAUGCUAUCAUCACAUGGAAAUCAUGUACAGGUAUCUACUAAUGGUUUCCAUAUUCCAAAGGGAAUAAAUCCAUGAGUCAAUGACUUAUUACUUGGUCCUCAGAUAUAUAUAUAUAUAUAUGGAUAAUUAGUUUGAGGUUAACGCAACGCAAGAGAGGAAUCAGUCUGAACUUCUUCCUCUUUCUUCUUCAUUUUUUUCCCCAUCGAACUAAUUAUCCAUCCAUCUAAUCAUGUCCAGUAUUUCCCUUUGUUUGCAAGAAACUCGAUAGGGGAUGGAGCUAUUAUACUCAGUCAUCAAAAUUACAUAACAUGAAGAUUAACGGAGAAGCAUGUUGAAAAAUUGUUGCUUCAACAGCGAUGCCCAUUGCCCAGUCAUCUUCCUAAACGGCAUAUGACAUCUCUCAAAUAGACAUAUGCCCGUUUGAAAGGUCAAGUAGCCUUUUUUAAGAGACAUACACAUGCUUCAUUUCAGACAUUAACUUGUUAGAGAGAAAGAGACAUAGCCCUAAAAGAGCUUAGUUCAUAGAAGUUUGAAAGGUUAGGUUGAUUGUGGCCGUUGCCCCAUUUCCUUGCCAUCGCCACAACACUAGUUUGGGUGAUGACCCAGUUGGCAUUGUCAACCAUUCAGAUAUUGUCAUCUGGUAUAUAGGUUUUGUUUUAGAUGUAUGGUUAGGGGGGUUGUGAUUCCAAUUUACAAGGUGGUCAUUACCCUGCAUCAGAUCUCAUUUUCCAUACUUUAAUUCCAUUAUUUGUAUGUUUUAAUGAUAAAAAUUACAAGUGCUUUUUUACUUGAUUACCCCUCCUUUUCUAUGUUGCAAUUAAGCUAAAGUUGAAGCCUUAAAAACCUCAUGAUGAAUAUUAUUGACUUCUCUGCUAAUAAUUUUAAGCCUUUUAAUUUGACAUUUUUUUUAAAAAUUAUUCUUUUUUAUCUCUUCCUCUUUUUCUCGGUCUGGAGGAAAGAAUGUUGUAAAAAGUCGUGCAUUGUGCAUAGAAGAAGGGAAAUAAAUAUUCUAUGGUUCGUUAGUCAACAACAAAUGCUACUUCCCCUUUUUAAGUCAACAUACAGCCCCACUAGAUACGGCAGCUUUUAAUCAGCUGCCCUUGAUUUUUGUGGAUGACACAUGCCAUCCUAUCCGUCCAUUUACCAAAUCAGAGACCUCUUCAUUCCUCCCAAAAUGAUUCUUAAUUAUAAUUUUAUAAUACAAAAGUUUUCAAAAUGCAUUUUAUAUUUUUAAUUAUUUCUUUUGAUACUCCAAAAAAACAAAAAAAACUAAGACACAUCAAUUUCUUAAAAAGAAUAUUUUCCAUCGAAGCUUGUUAAAAAAUAUAUUUAAUUUUACAUUCUUAUAUUUAAAGUGGAAAUUAGACUUAGGUGUGAUUUUUUUUCUCAAAAUACUAGGAUUUAAGCUCGAUUGCUUGAAUAUAAUUCUUAAAUAAGUAUAAAUUUUUUUAUUUCCCUCACACGUAAAAUUGGAAAAAAUAAUUUUACAUAAUUCAAAAUACUUUGAUUUGUAACAAAUACACUUUUUAUAUAAAAAAAAAUAUAUAUUUAUUUCUGUCCAUUUUCUUUUGCUGGCUUACUGGAAGUAACCCAAGCGACUGGAACUGUGUAGAACCCAAACCCAACUCCACCGCCAUAACGUGUAAACAACGUUGUACGACGCUGUCUUAGCCUUUGAUCAGAUCACUGGUCGACGUGGAUCCACACCCAUCCUCCAAACAAACCACCCUCCCUUUCACUUUAAUUUCGAUCAUGCCCCCUCACGUGGCCCAAGUCAAUUCCAUUUUACGCACUUUCAACGCUGAAUGAAUCCCCAACCAUGUCCCGCGAAGCAGCGGAUAAUAAAUUUCCUCUAAAAUAAUAUAUAGAAAAUAAAAAAUAAAAAUAAAAAGCCAAUCUCUCUCUAUUUUUUCUCUCUCUUGAUUUGUCUUCGAGCGUGUGCAUGUGUGUUUGUAUUGUUCAACAGUUCAUGGCCAAAGCCCGGGCUCCCAGACGAACCCUAGACUCUUACACAAUCAAAUCUAUCAAUAAAACAAUUCGAGGUGAGCCAAAAUUUUCUCGGAAAUUUUUUUCAUUUGCUGGAAAAUUGUUUUAUUUUUUCGGAAAAUUUCCUCUAUCUUACGCCGCCCAAGGAGCCGACUCUUGCUAACAUGCGCCGUUCCCGUUUUGCAGCCGGCGACUGCGUUCUGAUGCGGCCGUCGGACUCGUCGAAGCCGUCGUACGUGGCAAAAGUGGAGAAGAUCGAAUCGGACGGCAGAGGAAGCGUGAAGGUGCACGUGCGAUGGUACUACCGUCCGGAGGAGUCGAUCGGCGGCAGGCGGCAAUUUCACGGAUCCAAGGAGGUGUUUCUGUCUGAUCACUACGAUGUGCAGAGCGCCGAUACGAUCGAGGGGAAGUGUACGGUUCAUACUUUCAAGAGCUACACUAAGCUUGAUGCUGUUGGGAACGACGAUUUCUUCUGUCGUUUUGAGUACAAUUCGUCUACAGGAGCAUUCAAUCCCGAUAGAGUGGCUGUGUACGUUUCGAAUUUUCCGGUAUUUUGAUCAAUUUUUGGUUCAAUUAAUAUGAUCUAGUUUCUUUUAUAUAUAUAUAACAAAUUUAGGCAUGCUAAUUAUUUGUGUGUCCAAUAGAUUUGUUAGUUUUUACGCCUGGGUUUGGGGGAAUUUCAGAUUCAUUCUGUAUGAUCUCAUCAGUGUUUCCAGAAAAUUUGAUUUUUCUGUAUUGAUGCUAUGCAAUCUAUGAUGAAUUCUCUGUAUGUAGUGAAUAUGGAAAAUAUAUUAGUUCUUAGUACUUUUAGUGUUACUAUUUGUUCAAUCACAAGGAUAUGAUUAAUAUUUUCUCCUUAAGAAUCCAUAUUUGUAUCUUUAUCAGGCUUGUUAUGUGAGUUUGAUGCAAUUAAGUUGAGAAUUUAAGAUAAUGAGGAAGCUGGGGCUUUAAUUUCCACGUUGUCAUGAAUUAGGAUGAACUCCCUACUUCAAGCCUGUUUUUCUCCUUUUCUGGAGGGGUUAGUUCUGUGAUUUGAUAUUUUAACUGAAGAAAAUGGGUUAUAUUUAAGAUUUCAGUUCCAAUGGGUAGUUGAGGGUUGUGAUUUUGAAUUUAUUUCAUUCCAUUUUAUUUGGGCUUUUCUGGUUUAUCACUCGAUUUUCCGUGGCAGGUAUUGUAAAUGCGAGAUGCCUUACAACCCCGAUGACCUAAUGGUGCAGUGUGAGGGGUGCACUGAUUGGUGAGUUAUUUGCUUUGGACCUGUUUAAGAUUUUUUGUCUCAGGUUUGGUGGACAGAUUCUUUGUAACUUGAUUUGGAUUGUUCCUCAGAAUAUACUUUUGAAUUAUAGGGUGAAUAUUAGAGUUUCAAUGAGGAUAUGUAUUGUGCUAAGCUGGUAUGUGAUUAUUUAUGUACUUGUAUUGGUGGACAUAAACUUAUUGACAAGAUAGUGACAAUUUGUCACUCAGUGACAAUGUCAUGAAACUUGCUAGUUGAAGUGGACAUUGAACAUUAAUUAAAAAGAUGAAGAUGGUUCAUAUUAAUCACCAACUAGCUUCAUAUUUCUAAGUUCUAACAAUUUAUACUAUCUAAGUGGUUGCCUAUAAGUUUAGUGCACUAAAAAAUAGUUCACUAGUGAUUCAAAUGCCUAUUACUACACUCUUACAAAGAGAAUUUUUCACUGGGACUUCUAAAUACACUGCUAUUACCUUUUUAUUGUGAAAUGGAGUUUCAGAAAAGAUUUCAUUUCUAAAUAGUUCGCCAUAAGUUGCUAAACCUUUAGUUUAGAGAUUCAAAGAGCAGUUCAAUUACUUCAAAGUAGUUAGUCAUGAGAUACCAACCUGUUAAUUUGAAAAAAUUUAAAGAUAAAAGAUAAAAGAAAAAAGAAAAAAGAUAAGAAGAAUAAGCUUAAGAGUAAAUUCUCUAGUAUGACCUUACUUUUUGGUCUAUCUAAAAGAUGUAUGGUCUUAGUAUUAGGGCUUUUGCAAUGCCUUGGAUGUUAAGCCCAUGUAUACCUUAAAUUUAAGAAGUCUUUUUGGUUGAGCCUCAAGUUGUUCUCCUUGAGCCAAAUUUUGGGAUGAGUGUCAAGGCAUAAGAUUCACAUGCCUUUUGUAAGUGUGAUUGCAUUUAUGUCUAAUUUUAAAGGGUCCAAUAGCCAACAAGUAUCCUAUAAAAAAAACUUCCAUUUCUGGGGUAAAUUGUGAAUUAUGCACUUAGACCAAAGCAAUCUUCAGCAUGCUACUUUUGAUUCAGGUUUCAUCCUGCUUGUAUAGACAUGACUCCAGAGGAAGCUAAAAGACUCGAGCACUUUUUCUGCCAAAAUUGUUCUUCUGAAGAUCAAAAGAAGUUGCUGAAUUCUCAUAAUGCAUCAAGACACUCUGACGCAAAGGUACUUCAUUCACUGAAAUGAUGAACAAAUUUGUUUUUUUUUUUUUUUUUUUUUUUUUUCUUUUUUGGUUUUUUUGAUCUAGUGUAGCUGUUUUUAAAUUGAAGGUGACAUUCAUGCCAUUUGGAAAAUGAGGUUUCAUCUGAUAUGUCAAUUAUUAAUCUGCCUGUAGAAUAAACUGAAGUAGUAAUCCCUGUCAUCCAUGAAAUCACCAUUGGCCUGGGAAAUUCUCAAUCAGAGCAGAAAGCUGGCUAGUGGUUAAAGGUUGUAGAGAACUGCAUUUUACAAAAAUUGCAAAGAAAGUUAUGGUUUAUAAUAUAUGAGAAAAUAGUGUGAAAAUGGGAUGAAUUUAAGUAAUCUUUUUUUUUUUUGGAUAGGUGGGAUGAAUUUAAAUAAUCUCAGACUCUUAUCCCCGAAAAAAAAGAACAUUCUUAAGAAAAUAUUUUUUUUUGAAAAAAAACCAUGUCUAACACGCAACCACGAAGAAAAACUUUUAACCAUUUAUAUGGUCUACACCCAAGUGGAUCUCUUCAACAAUAAAUUAAUUCUUUAAAUAAAUUAGUUGACAACCUUUCCAAUUUUCAAUAGCUAUCUGAAAACCCUUGUUUCUACAAGUAGUACUAACCAAGUCACCAAUUUCUUAAAUCUUGAUUUUGAUUUAGAAGAAAUGACAAAAAUUAGUAUUAGAACUGACUGUGAAUACCACUGACUUUCCUAGAAUGACCUCAGAGAGUUCCAAACUUGCCUUAGUCUCAAAUGUAGUGUCUUUGUGCCUGCCGAAACACAAUCCAAUUGAUAUUGAAAGAAAGGCUAAAAAAAGGUUUGAUGGGAAGCUCUGUUCUCUAACCAUCCAAUUGGUCAUAGUCUGCCAAGAGAGGGUGAAGCACCUGAUGGUUUUCUAAUAGGGAAUACGACCAAGUGCCCUAUCAUAAUCCCUAAUGAUGCCAAACCCACCUUGUCUAAAAGAGGGGAUAUUUGCGCUGCUGGAUACAAACCCAGAAAAAGAUGGAAACUGGUUUGGCCCGAGCUGUAGAUGCCAACCCCCCACAUCAUGCUUGACACUGAGAAAAUGUUAAUAGUGAUGAGAGAUUCUCAUUGCUGGUGGAAGAAAGGCCAAAAGGAAGUUUGAUGAGGAUCCCUGUUCUCUAACCAUGCAAUCGGUGAUAGUCUGCCAAGAGGGUUGCUAGCAGAAGAAAAGGCCAAAAGAGGGUGUAUAGGGAGCCCUGUCUCUAUCCAGGCAGUUGGUCAUAUCUGCCUGAAGGUGUUGACGCAGAGAGAUGGUGUUCCAUUCAUUCUCCAUAUUGCUAAUUUUUUCCGUCUAUUCUCCCGUGUUGCUUACUCUUUCCAUUUAUUCUGUGUUCUGUCUAGAUUCAUUCUCUAAAUUGAUGCCACUUUCUAAUGAUUCUAUAUUCCCAACUCUUUCUGUCUAGUUUUUGAAUCAUUUUUUUCUCGAUUAAAGAUUACAGCCGGCUCUUCUCUGUUUUCAUAAUAAGAGAAAAUUCAAAUUCUAAUACACUGAAGCUUGCUCUCACCAAUUCUCUAUGAUCUAGAGAGGGGCUUAUUGUAUUUUUUUUUUAAAUUAAAAAAAGGAUGAUCAUGUGAUGUGGAGACUGAUAAUUUUGCAAUUGGUAGGUUUUUGAAGGUGCAAAAUGGCAUUGUUUUGGGCAUUGUAGAAGUUUUCAGGGGGGGAAUUAUACUUUCAUAUUUGUCUGCCUGCAUUAAGUAACUUCACUUUAUGUUGAAAAUUGAUUUGGAUGUUGCUAAUAUUUUUUAAAAGCUUGGUUUGCUAAUGAGAUGGAGAAAAAAAAAAUCAAAAUUUUGGCUUUACAAUUUUUAUUCUUUUUAGUUUGUCAAACGAUCAUAGUUAUUGGCCAUUGCAAGAUAGUGGCAACGCCACACAGAAAUGCUAUUUUUUAUUUACAGAAAAUAGCAAAUGUGACCAGAAAAGCUAAAAUUUUGUUUUGAGAAAUGUCAGAUAGCUGAAUUGGAUCAGUCACUCUCAAUAUCCAAGAUCUUGUUUGAGAUCUAAAUCAACAUCUAUUACUA
rnacentral:lncRNA from 1 species